rnacentral:rRNA from 1 species
AGUGAACGCUGGCGGUAGGCCUAACACAUGCAAGUCGAACGGCAGCACAGUAAGAGCUUGCUCUUACGGGUGGCGAGUGGCGGACGGGUGAGGAAUACAUCGGAAUCUACUUUUUCGUGGGGGAUAACGUAGGGAAACUUACGCUAAUACCGCAUACGACCUACGGGUGAAAGCAGGGGAUCUUCGGACCUUGCGCGAUUGAAUGAGCCGAUGUCGGAUUAGCUAGUUGGCGGGGUAAAGGCCCACCAAGGCGACGAUCCGUAGCUGGUCUGAGAGGAUGAACACGCACUCGGGAAGUGAGACACGGCACAGACACCGAAGGGCGGCCGAAGGGGGGAAUAUUGGAAAAAGGGGGGAAGCUUGAACCAGCCAUACCGGGGGGGUGAAGAAGGCCUGCGGGUUGUAAAGCCCUUUUGUUGGGAAAAAAAAGCAGCAGGUUAAACCCCCGGUGUUUGGGGGGAACCAAAAGAAAAAGAACCGGCAAACUUGGG